rnacentral:lncRNA from 1 species
UGGUUUGUGUGGCUUCAACCCCAAGCGUCCCAGUGAGGGCCCUGUCGCCUCCAGCUCCACAGGCCCAGCCCAACUCCUCGUCUGCCCCCAUUAGGCAUCUCUGUCCACAGGACUCCUCCCAGACGACGGCAGACACCUCCCUCGGCCUCACCUCCCAACCAGGGGUCACCAGCACUGAGGAUUCUGCCCCCUGCAGAGCCUGGAACGCGUCCCUUCCAGCCCUCUCCACCAGGCCUGCACUCAUCACCUGCAGGUGGGCCAAGCCCCGGCCUCCAGGGCCUCUCACACCCUUUCCUCCAUUACUGCCCCUCCAUCUGCCUGGUCACACCAGGUUCCAGAAAGAGCUCUUAAAGGGUCUCUGUCACACACAGAUCACAACCAAUCUGCCCAUCAUAGCUUUGCGGCCAGCAGCAUUUCAUCUUCCCUCCAGCUGUUCUCUUCCUCCCUGGAUCUUCUUUGCAAGGCCAUGGGGUCCAUGCCCCCCAACCAUGACUCCCUCCACCAUGCUGACCCCCGGCCAGGAUGUCCUGACCCCAGCUGAGAUGCCCAGACACCAGCAGAGAUGCCCUGACCCUCGCCCGCCAUUUCAGCUGUUGCUUUCUCAGCCAAGUCUCAAUCUUUGGAUGAACAGACAUUGAGUCCUUCCAGGUACUGACCAGGGUGCUGGACACCAGAAACCUAACGGGCGCUGAUGAAAUCUCCACUGUGACUUCACAGCAACCCCAACCCUUCCACACACCAGCACCUCUCAUCCCAGGAGAGCCUGGGCCCGGAACUGACACGGCUUCUGCUUCCUGGGAUCAAACAUGCCCCCAGCCCUCCAGGCAGCCACCAGGGCAGGUGCAGGUGGGCAGGCACCUAGACCCAACCCGGAGCUGAUGCCCCGUGCCCUCGGCCCCCACCCUGAGGGUCCUCUGAGAGCACCUGCCAGGGUUUCGCAGGAGACUGGAAUAAGAUCGGAAUAAUUCCAACAGAUGCUCCAACCAUCCCUCAUGGACCACACGCACUCUUGGAUGCUGAAGAGCAGGCUGGGGUCUGGGGCAGCCUUUAGGGGCUCUUGGGACCCCAAAGGUGUCCAGCUUGGAUGUCUCCAGCAGAUCUUUCUGGAAAUCUGGGACACCAAGGAGGAGCACAAAUGCUGGUCUUACUACUAAGCAAUAUGUCCCUCGGAUCCAAAGGAGAGCAGGUGACCUGGGUGCAGCCACAGCCAGCUGCCACCUCCCUGGAGUCCCUCAUGAAGCAAUGCAUUCAGGGCAGAAUCCAUUGCUGCCUCAGCCCCCUUCAAAGACCAGGCCCAACACCGCACCAGCUCCUUGGACACUGCCCAUCUUCCCAGGGAGAGUCUCGUGCUCAGAGAGGCUAUAAAUAUACGCCGGACAGUCAAGAGUUUCCGUCGCCAACAGAAGAGCUGAGCAAAAGGUGAAAUAAACAUCCCGUGGCUGCAAAUUA